CAAAGGACUGUUAACACUUUCCAUAAGGCUCCUUUUUAUUUACUAGGUUUUCUUUCUGAAAAGGGACUGUUAACACUUUCCAUAAGGCUUCUUUUCAUUUACCAGGGCACUGUUCUUGUUAUGGAUCAGAUGGGAUACAAUGCUGAUCGCACACCAUUCACGAACAUCUCAAACACCAUCAUUACAGGUAA